rnacentral:rRNA from 1 species
UGGGGAAUAUUGCACAAUGGGCGCAAGCCUGAUGCAGCCAUGCCGCGUGUGUGAAGAAGGCCUUCGGGUUGUAAAGCACUUUCAGCGAGGAGGAAGGUGGUGAGCUUAAUACGCUCAUCAAUUGACGUUACUCGCAGAAGAAGCACCGGCUAACUCCGUGCCAGCAGCCGCGGUAAUACGGAGGGUGCAAGCGUUAAUCGGAAUUACUGGGCGUAAAGCGCACGCAGGCGGUUUGUUAAGUCAGAUGUGAAAUCCCCGGGCUCAACCUGGGAACUGCAUUUGAAACUGGCAAGCUAGAGUCUCGUAGAGGGGGGUAGAAUUCCAGGUGUAGCGGUGAAAUGCGUAGAGAUCUGGAGGAAUACCGGUGGCGAAGGCGGCCCCCCUGGACGAAGACUNACGCUCAGGUGCGAAAGCGUGGGGAGCAAACAGGAUUAGNUACCCUGGUAGUCCACGCUGUAAACGAUGUCGAUUUGGAGGUUGUGCCCUUGAGGCGUGGCUUCCGGAGCUAACGCGUUAAAUCGACCGCCUGGGGAGUACGGCCAGC